ACAGAGAGAGAGAGACUGAAGAAAGGAGCAGCUGAGAGAGUUGUUUUCCUGCAAAUGACAUUACGAAAAGGUGGAGGAGUGGGUAGACCCAUGGCUAAUCUUUGGUUCCUCCUGCUGCUUCACCUCACUGGUGUAUCAGUGACCACAAGCCAGUUGUGCCGCACAGAUAUCCCAUGGGACUAUAAUGGGACUAUCGAGUCGCCAGGAUUUCCACAGGAAUACUACGGGAACCAAAAUUGCUUGUACUCCUUUUCUCUUCCAAAUACCUUCAGCACCUGGAGAAUCAAUUUCACCUACUUUAACCUCCCGAACACAUCAUGUGAC
rnacentral:lncRNA from 1 species